UGUAGGCCUCCUGGACGGCAUUGGCAUCGAUUCCCGCGCGCUCCACAGCAGAUGAAAUC
rnacentral:sRNA from 15 species